UCCCGCGGUAAUAGAACAUUGAAUGUACCAGUUCCCAACAGAUCACUGAAGUUAAGCAACGUUAUGCGUGGUUGGUAUCUGGAUGGGUGACCAUCUGGACCACCGCGUACUGCUCACU
rfam:Asian citrus Psyllid, Diaphorina citri - Florida Strain, whole genome shotgun sequence.